AUGGGUCAUCAUUCACUACAUGUCAGGUAUCCAGCAAUUGAUUUCCUCAUGGUAUCACACUGCUCUCAGCAGGGCAGAGGAAGAGCCUUACAUACUGACAGAUACAUGGAUCUGUUUCCUUACUUAACAGAUGAAGAAAGAGAGAUUAAUUGCUUUGCCCAAUGUCAUCACCUUCAAGAAGCCUUAGGGCUGUCUCUAGGAUAUGCAAAACUAAAGAGCCUAAAUAAUGAAUUUUCCAGAGUAAAAUGUCUUCUCUGAAAAGGGCAGUAAAGUUGGACCUAAGUAGAAGAAUAAAUGCCUACAGCCAAUAAUCAUGCUAUGAAC
rnacentral:lncRNA from 1 species